UACGAAGGGGGCUAGCGUUGUUCGGAAUUACUGGGCGUAAAGCGCGCGCAGGCGGUCCUUUAAGUCAGGGGUGAAAGCCCAGAGCUCAACUCUGGAACUGCCUUUGAAACUAGAGGACUUGGGUACGGGAGAGGUGAGUGGAAUUCCGAGUGUAGAGGUGAAAUGCGUAGAUAUCGGGAGGAACACCUGUGGCGAAAGCGGCGCACUGGACCACAACUGACGCUGAGGCGCGAAAGCUAGGGGAGCAAACAGG
rnacentral:rRNA from 1 species